rnacentral:rRNA from 1 species
UCCGUAGGUGGCAAUCGUUGUCCGGAUUUAUUGGGCGUAAAGCGCGCGCAGGCGGCUAUGUAAGUCUGGUGUUAAAGCCCGGGGCUCAACCCCGGUUCGCAUCGGAAACUGUGUAGCUUGAGUGCAGAAGAGGAAAGCGGUAUUCCACGUGUAGCGGUGAAAUGCGUAGAGAUGUGGAGGAACACCAGUGGCGAAGGCGGCUUUCUGGUCUGUAACUGACGCUGAGGCGCGAAAGCGUGGGGAGAAAACAGG